CCCCACCCUCCUCUGCAGCAGGGGGAGGGGAUAAGAGAGGUCUGGGGGACCAGGCCCAGGGUUGGGGGCUCAGAAGGCAGUGCUCUGGGGCAUCUCCACCAUGGCCUGGGCUCUGCUCCUUGUCACCCUCCUCACUCAGGGCACAGGGUCCUGGGCCCAGUCUGCCCUGACUCAGCCUCCCUCCGUGUCUGGGUCUCCAGGAAAGACGGUCACCAUCUCCUGUGCAGGAACCAGCAGUGAUGUUGGGUAUGGAAACUAUGUCUCCUGUUACCAGCAGCUCCCAGGAAUGGCCCCCAAACUCCUGAUAUAUGACGUCAAUAAACGGGCCUCAGGGAUCGCUGAUCGCUUCUCUGGCUCCAAGUCCGGCAACACGGCCUCCCUGACCAUCUCUGGGCUCCAGUCUGAGGACGAGGCUGAUUAUUACUGUGCCUCAUAUAGAAGCAGCAACAAUGCGCACAGUGGUCCACGGAGGGACUCAUCUGAGCUCCUGAAGCUUUAG